UAAAGAUUCAUCGGCUGCGGAUGGCCAUGCGGCGCAUUAGCUAGUCGGCGGGGUAACGGCCCACCGAGGCGACGAUGCGUAGGGGUUCUGAGAGGAAGGUCCCCCACACUGGUACUGAGACACGGACCAGACUCCUACGGGAGGCAGCAGUGAGGAAUAUUGGUCAAUGGCCGGGAGGCUGAACCAGCCAAGUCGCGUGAGGGAAGACGGCCCUACGGGUUGUAAACCUCUUUUGUCAGGGAGCAAGAGGCGGGUCGAGACCUGCUGUGAGAGUACCUGAAGAAAGAGCAUCGGCUAACUCCGUGCCAGCAGCCGCGGUAAUACGGAGGAUGCGAGCGUUAUCCGGAUUUAUUGGGUUUAAAGGGUGCGCAGGCGGAGGCACAAGUCAGCGGUAAAAUCGCGGGGCUCAACCCCGCUCCGCCGUUGAAACUGUGUCCCUUGAGUGCGCGAAGGGUAGGCGGAAUGCGUGGUGUAGCGGUGAAAUGCAUAGAUAUCACGCAGAACUCCGAUCGCGAAGGCAGCCUACCGGCGCGCGACUGACGCUCAUGCACGAAAGCGUGGGUAUCGAACAGGAUUAGAUACCCUGGUAGUCCACGCAGUAAACGAUGAAUGCUAUCUGUCCGGCCGGAAUGACGGCUGG
rnacentral:rRNA from 1 species